AUAAUCUAUUAUCAUUACUACGUAUCCUAUGCACAAGAGAUAUAGUAGUUGAGAAGGUAAUAGAUUAUAAACCACGUGGGAGAUGCAGUUGUAGGUUCCAACUGGUGCACAUCUUUUAGAGACAGUAACCAAGCUCGAAGUAAGCACAGAGCGAAGAUAGAAAGCUAUACCUCGAUAGGCUUAAUGAGGUGCUUAACAGUCUGACACUAACUGAACAAUAAGUGUUG
rnacentral:ncRNA from 1 species